AAUAAUUUAAUAGAUUUUACUAUAUUUGAUUACGGAUCAGAGUGAUUUAAUUAUUU
rnacentral:tRNA from 1 species